rnacentral:rRNA from 1 species
UGCGGGUUGUCAUGCCAAUGGACCGGCCCGGUAGGUAAAGGCGGAAGAGAUAAGUGCUGAAAGCAGCUAAGCACGAAACNUUGCCCCGAGAUGAGUUCUCCCUGAGACUUAGAGUCUCCUGAAGGAACGUUGAAGACGACGACGUUGAUAGGCCGGGUGUGUAAGCGCAGCGAUGCGUUGAGCUAACCGGUACUAAUGAACCGUGAGGCUUAACCUUACAACGCCGAAGCUGUU